GAUCUUCAUUUUUAUUACAAUCUUAAUAUGCACGCGACGAGUAAAAACCGACCAUUUCCUAACGAAAAAAAAAGAAGAGCAAGAAUUGAAUACUAAUUAAUAAUUUCUCGUAACCGUUUAACAUAGAAACAUCCUCAGUAGUAUAGUAACCCAGAAAUAUAGCUCUACAGCAAACUAUCAUCGGCGAAAGAGCAGUCACGAGAAAGCCGUGCGACGGGCAGAAAUACAGGGCAGGGAAGAGACGAGGGGAGAAAAGAGGAUAAGGGAACGGGACAGGAACAAAACGAGGAGAACGAGGAGGCAGACGCUCACAGUAUGUAGACACGCGCGCACGCGGCCGAAGUGGGUAUGCGGCUCUCUGCGGCUUGGAUAGGGAACGAGCCGCGCCAUAAAACACGGGGAAUCCGGGGCUUUAUUUUAUUUCAUUCAAUUCUUCACGGGCGACAACCGCCCCGGGAAUAUGGAAUCAAGUUGUUACGUCGCCUUACGAAGGAUGACGAGAUCGAGGCGGCGGCGGCGGCGGCGGCGUUGGCGGCGUCGGAGAAGGCCGACGCGGUAGUAGAUAUCGAAACGAACAACUUUCACGCACUUCCCACUGAGAGGUCACGACUGUCUAUCAACGGCAAGUGCGUGCAGUCAACGCAAAAUUUAUGACCUUGCCAUCUACGGACCACGGAGCACCACAUUUUUCUUCAUCGGCGGAUGACGAUAGCGACGUCGACGAUGGUGGAGCGAGCUGAUGACCGAUAAAAUAUAUGAAUCGAUAACAAAAACGAACAAACUUGAUUCUUCCUCGAUAAGUAUUUACGGCACGUGCUCAAUAUUUGACUGCUUUUGGAGCCGCCGCUUGACAAAUUGCAUCGUUUGGCUUUCAACCGAGCUUCCCACGCCUCGCAUUGUUGUCGAACCACCGUAAAAUUGUCUCAAAAUCCAUUUGAAAGCAGAUAUCAAUGGAAAAAGAAGGUCCACGAUAGUUUCAUACAAAUACGCGAACCGAGAGACAUUUAUCCGAGUGAUGUUCCUUCUCUUAAUUUCUUUAUUUAUCAAUUCAAUAAAAAACUAAAUAACUUUUGUAAUAUUAUAUUUCUAUACUUGUAGUACCAAAUAGUAAAACUAAUAUAUGUUGUCAUAAAAUCCGCUAACGUCAGAAAAUACAGGAAAAUACGCAACAAGACGAUUGAUAAAUCAUUAAAAAUUUACAAAAAAAAUAUCGCAUAAUUAUUAUAAGCCAUCAAAUAAAUCUGACUAGUCUACGAUGCGCUGUAAAACCUGUUAGAAUUAGUCGGUUAAUGUUGACUGUUGGCUAGACUAUAAAAUCCCAUACAGGCAAGAGACUACAAAAUAACAAGAUCCUACGUAACCGGCAGACGUUGUGAUUUCACGGAAGUCAAACGUAGAACAUCUUUGCCAGGCGUAGAUAGAAAUCUUAUUGUCGCAUCCAGAUCGGACCAUCUGGUCCGGAUCGUCACGCCCAGAGUAACACGGACAAGAGCAGUUUUGAAAUAUAUUAAGGCUCUUGGCACCUCAGUCGAGAACUCUGCAUUGACGGUUAGCGAUAUUCCGUCGUGGACAAAAUUAGAAAACUAAUAGACGUGAAACCUGACUGAUUGACAAUGAGAUGUUGUCGCGCAUGUCAUUUUGUUAGUAUGCGUUUCAUUGUGAAAAUAUGACUUGUCUCGUAUUUGCCAAAUUCGUAAAAAUGGG